GCCAGGUGUGGUGGCGGGCGCCUGUAGUCCCAGCUACUCGGGAGGCUGAGGCGGGAGGUUUGCUUGAGCCCAGGAGGCUGGAGGUUGCAGUGAGCCCAGAUUCUUCCACUGCAUUCCAGCCUGGGUGACAGAGUGAGACCCUGUCUUAA
rnacentral:SRP_RNA from 2 species